AGUGUGCUCCAGAUUCCCAUUUUGUCCCCCACACUGAGGUUAACUGUGCCAACAGAGUAUCAGUUGUCUGAACAUGGUCAUGGCAGGAUGUAAAGUGAAUAUGUAAAAAAAUUAAGUUAAAAAACAAACAAACAUGGAAUUGCGUGUGAGGAGAUUUCUGAGUGAGAAAACUAAGAAACGAAGACAAAAGUCUGGUGACCUGAGUUUCUUCAGAAACAAGGAAUUGUUCUUGGAUUAUGCUUUUGCGCCCCUUUCAGGUGUAGCACAAAAGAAUGAACUGUCUCUGAGGUAUUGAAAUCACCUCCUAUUACUGAAAUGGGAAUAAAUUUGUACCUUGACAUCUAAUACUUUGAUUUUUAUGAAACUGGAUGUAUCAGAGGUUGGUACGUACAUGUUUAGGAUUGUAAUGUCUUCUUUGUUAAUUGUUCUUUUGAUCAAAGUGAAGUGUCAUUCUAUAUCUCUUCUGAAUAAUUUUAGAUUGACAUUUAUAUUGUCAUGUAUUAGGAUAGCAGCAACUUUUUGUUUCUUGGUCCUAUUUGCUUGGACUAAUUUUUUUUCAUACUUCACUCUCAAGUAGCACCAAUCCUUGAAGUUAAGAUGAGGGGUUUUUUUUCCAAGAAAACAAAAAAAAUGUUUUGUUUGUUGAUUUAUUCAACCAACCUCUGUCUUUCUAUUGGGGGAAAUUAAGGCCAUUAAUAUUUAAAGUAAGGUGUGUGACAAUUGCUGUCAUUUUGCUCUUUAAUUUUGCUAUUUCUGUUCUUAGUUUUAUUUUGUGCUUUGAUAAUUAUAACUUCAUUUGUUUUCUUCCCAGAGUCUCCUGAGUAUGAUUACUUAUUUUCUCUCUAGUCCAAAUAUUGCUCCCAGUAGUCUCUGUAGUGCUAGAUUGCUGGGUAUGAGUUCUUUCAGAUCGGUUUACAUGGUAAGUUGGUAUUUUUUUUCCUUCAACUAUGGCAGAUAGUUUUGCUGGGUAAAGUGGUCUGUAUUGCCAUCUGUAGUCUUUUAGAACUUGGAAUAUAUUAUUCCCAGUCUGCUGGCUUUAAAACUUUCCAUUGAGAAGUCAGUACUUAUUCUAAUGGGUUUGCCUUCAUGUGAGACUUGAGAUUUUUCUAUGAGGAAAAGGAGAAAGAGGCAUCCCAUGAUUUGAAGUGAGUUAAGAAACUGUGGGGGGAAAGGGUGUCCUGAGGAAGAUUUAGACUAACCAUGGAAAUGAAACUCUGGACAUGUUUGUGAGGGAUUUUCUACUUUAUGUUAGUUGAACUGAGAAGACCCACCCUAAAUAUGAGUGGUUCCAUUCCAUGGGCUGAUGUUCCAGACUGAAUAAAACAAAGAAAGGGAGCUGAGCACCAGUAUUUAUCUCUAUCUCCUGACUGCAGGUGCAAGAUAUCCAGCUACCUCAAGUUCCUGAUUCCACAUCCCCACACCUUGAUGGACUCUGAUUUUGAGUCAAAAUAAACCCUUCUUUCCUUAAGUUGAUUUUGUUAUGCAUUUUGACACAGCAAAAGACACAAACCCAACACAAAAUAUUUCCUCUCAAAUAGGCAAUAUAUUUGUACUGAGAUGCAUUAUUCUCUGAAAACAACAAACAGCAAAACAGAACACACGACAGAAGAUUGGAGAAGAGAGAUUAACAGGCAAAUUUAUUCUAAACAUGUUAUAUAUGAAUGCAUGGAAUUUUCAAACAAUAAAAAAUAAUUAUUUGAAAAAAG
rnacentral:lncRNA from 1 species